rnacentral:sRNA from 1 species
UAUCCCCAGAACUGUUGGACCAAAUGCAGCUGUGCAAACUUUUGAACACUGCAUUGUCAAUGUGCCUCAAUCCUUCACAGAGGUGACCAGCUAUAGGGAUG